CGGCGAUGGCCAGGAGGAUAAGGCCUCCACCGAGGCACCCCCCAUAGAUAUUUUCUUCCCCUGCCUCCGCCCACUUCCACAUGCCCCGGCGCUCUCCACUCACCUCGCUCUCUCCCUCCUCACUGAUUCCCCAUCUCCCGAGCGCGGCCGUCACCGACCACCAUGCUUCGUCGCGGCCACCGGCGUUACUGCGCCCGCAGCUCGUGUCCACGAGCAUAGCCUCGUUCGUCUCCGUCGACUGGAGCCGUCCAUUUGAGCCGGGCGAUGCCAUUGUGCGCAGAUCGAGCCGGUCUUGUCUUCUGCAUCACCGGCAAUCCUCGUCGACCUCGCUCUGCCACAACCACCGGCCACCUCUCGCCCCGCUGUUGCGUCCGCGAAGACCGCCGCCGUCCACUACAUCCUCUACGCCAACAAACACGAGCCGGGGAGCACAUCUGCGACCACUACGACUCCAUCUUCCUCCUUCGACCGCCGCCGAUCUCCUCCGAUCCCGGCGUCUUCUUCAUCUGCGACGAGCUCUGCAGCUCCUAAACCUCCCGCCGAGCCUCCGUGUGCUCCUAGGUGAGCACCCCGUCCAUCCCCUUUCCCUUCUGCUCCUCGACGCACGCGUUCGCCCCGGUAUUGUCGUGCUCGCGGAUGCCCCUAUGAGCCGCCGUACCCUGGUCAUGCGCUGCCGCUGCUACCUGCUACUACCUACUGCUGUUGCCUCCUGCGCACGCGCGCUGGCCGUGCCCGGCCCUGCAUCGAGCCGCCCUGCAACCGCGGCCUGCAUCGGCCCCUCGCCCUGCGUUGCUCAGCGGCCCAGGCUCACGCCGUGCAGCGCACCCUGCGCCCAACUCGUGUGCAUGCCGCCGCUGCUAUGCUGAAUCUACUGCUGCUGCUAAUUACUGUAGCUAUGGCUAGCUUUGCGAAUAUUACACGGACUAGCUCCCUUGGCAGCCUCUAAUCAGCAGUUAAACAACUACUAACAGUGGUAAAAAUAAUAUGAGUAGGUAGCCUACUUGACAAACUUCAUUUUACCCCACUGGACCAAAUUCAUUUGAUGCAUGAAAUAAAUCCUAUGAAAAUCACAAAAUGCUCUCUUUUGUUAGCAGAAAACAGAAUUGUGUGUGCUUGUGUGUAUUCUGUGUGUGGUGGCCGGCCGGUUCUCCGUUUGCUAAUUAGUACUCCUACUAGUUAGUCUAAUAAGUGGUUAGGUAUAGUGCAAAUGACAGGUGGACCCCCCCCUCUAAAUAUCCACUUAAAAAGAAAAUGCAUGAUAUGUGUGAAUGACACCUAGGCCCCAUCUACAGUUUUGACCAGUCAACAGUCAAGCAGUUGACUGUUGACUGCCCUGUUGACUGAGUCAACUGGGACCACCAAGACCCACUGUCAGCCUCUAGUGGCCCUGUUGUGUACACUCUGCCGGGUGCACAUAGCAAUUUCACCUUUUAUUCCGAAUUAAUAAUGAUUUCAGGAAUUGUUUAAAUCUUUGAAAAAUCAUAGAAAAUAAUCUGUAACUCGGAUGAAAAACUUUUCUACAUGAAAGUUGCUCAGAACGACGAGACGAAUCCGAACACGCGAUCCGUUCGUCCGCCACACGUCCCUAGCAUAGCAAAUGUUGAACUUUUCCCCUCCGGUUCAUCUAUCUAAUAGACGUCCGGAACCGGGAAAACUUUCUCGGAUGUUUCCCUCUUCGCCAGUAUCACCUAGCACCGCGUUAGAACACGUCUAGCUUUCCCUGUUGUCAUGUUAUGCUCUUGCUUGCUAUGUAUUUACUGUUUCUUCCCCCUCUUCUUCUUCGGUAGACCUCGAGACCGCUGCUGAUGCCCCUGUGAUCGACUAUGUCGACGACGACCCUCCUUGUCUGAGCAACCAGGCAAGCCCUCCCUUUGAUCAUCCCGAUAUCGCCCAUUCUAUAAUCUCAUGCUUGCAUUAGAUUUUGCUACUGUUAUUGUUUGCUCCUAUCCUGAUGCAUAACCUGCUUUUGUACCUGUUAUUGUUACCUACUUGCUUAUCCUAAACUGCUUAGUAUAGGUUGACUAGUGAUCCAUCAGUGACCCCCACUUGUCCUUGUUGCCCCUGCUUCAUCAUCGACGCCUCCAUCGGCGUGAUCGACGACCAGAGCCCGACACCUCACAUCACAUCACGCCCCUUUAGUUGCUCGACUCUGCAGAGCUACUAUCAAGUGCCGAGGGUGAUCCCUCAUAACGCACUCCUGAUGAUAAUUCUGUAGUGUAGCUAUUCGGUCAUGGUCAUCGAGGGUGAUUUCCUCUUACACCAUUCCCGAUACGGCUCUGUCGUUCAACACCUCAAGUGUGAACCUCGAGGGUGGUCCCUCUUACGUUCACCUUGAUGAUUACAUAGAGUGGAAUCCACCGGGGGUGAUUCCUCGGGUUUUCCCCUUGCUGUCUAGACACACAGUUACCUCGACUUUACUUGGGACCUUGGUGAAAGUCGGGCGGGCCCGGAGAGCACCCACAAGAUGGUUACGUGGCACGGCCGGGCAUUCUAGACCCUUGUCGUAAGUCCACGAGACGGGGCGACGGGGUCACUUUCGAUCGUGAGUCUCUGCUCGUCUCCGCAAGCUAAUAAUACACUAUGGUUUGGGUAUUUGUUCUGAGUUGGACUCUGGCCUUUACGCACCAACCACCACGUGAGAAUAGUUAUGGGCCUCGACAUCGCAUUAUCAGCCGAAGCUUUGUCAGACGUCCAGUUCAGUAGUGCGGCACGGCUGGGCCGGCACCAUCCUGUAGUGGUGGAGCCUGGACCCGCCCUGUACGCAACGAUUCGGAGUGCAACGGGCGAUGGGCCCAGACCCCGGAGUGCUUAGGAUGUAGACCGGCGGGGACCUCUCUGCUGAGCCUAGGUAGGGCUGCAACGUGUUGAUCUUCCGAGGCCGGGCAUUGACCCCAAAAAGGUGUGUCCGGCCAACGUGAUCGAGCGUGUUGGCAAACGUGGUGCACCCCCUGCAGGGAAGAUUAUCUAUUAAUAGCCGUGUCCACGGUAACGGACGUUCAGACUUAUAUCCUGAUCUUAUACAACUACGAAUGGAUACUUGGAUAUGUGGCUCCGGGAUUGCUUUCUCGCGGGGAGUCGAGAAAGGAUCUCUGGGCAUUAAUGUUACAACAUGCUUGUUAAUUAUAAACUGCUAUUCUUUACUCUUCUACAUGCUGCAAGAUGCUUGGAGCUGCGUGAAGAUGCUAGUCUUCGAUAGGCUAGGCCUUCCCCCUCUAUUCUAGCAUUCUGCAGUUCAGUCCACAGAUACAAACCUUCCAUUUGAUACCAGUGCAUACUUAGUAUAGAUCUGAUGCUUGCGAGUACUUUGGAUGAGUACUCACGGUUGCUUUGCUACCCCCCUUUUCCCCCUUCUUUCUUCUUUCAGGUUGAUGCAACCAGAUGGUGGAUCCCUGGAGCCAGAUGCCACCGCCGAUGGAUGCUGCUACGUGAAGACCGCCGACGGCCAGGAGUAGUUAGGAGGUCCCAGGCAGGAGGCCUUGCCUCUUCGAUCGUUGUUACUUUUGUGCUAGCCUUCUUAAGGCAUCCUUGUUUAACUUAUGUCUGUACUCAGAUAUUGUUGCUUCCGCUGACUCUUGUGUAUCGAGCUUGUAUUCGAGCCCUCGAGGCCCCUGGCUUGUAAUAUAAAGCUUGUAUUAUUUUAUUUGUGUCUAGAGUUGUGUUGUGAUAUCUUCCCGUGAGUCCCUGAUCUUGAUCGUACACAUUUGCUUGUAUGAUUAGUGUACAAUUGAAUCCGGGGUGUCACAAGUUGGUAUCAGAGCCGAUUUCCUGUAGGAUCCCCCUUUCCAACUCCUUGGCCGAAGUUGAGUCUAGUCUUUGAAAAACUGAUUUACUAACAUGGUUGUGUGGCUUACGAGCCCACGUCGCCAAUUGGGUGGUAUUAGGAUCUUUUAUUCCUCGUCUAUACUCUGGGACUCGGAUCUCUCUUCUAUUCGGGUUAAAUAAUUUUGUUAACUCUAACUCUAGGAUCUCGUAAAUACUUCCUCCCGGAGAGCCCUUCACUCCAUAUGAUGGCUUGGUGCACCAGAAGAUUCUGAAGAUACUCUCCGAUACUUUUCCGAGACCCUUGUACCCUUUGUCAUUGCAAUCCGUACCACCGAUAAAUCCUUAUGCGUAACUACCUAUGUUGUCGUUCAUACCUUCAUCCCUUGUUGCUCUUGUUAUUACAAGAUGUCCUGAAAAAUCCUUCGAUGUUCCGAGAAUUCUUUAUGUUUACUGCCCUGCAGUUCCUUGCCACAUGAAUACCCCUACGGAUAAUUACUCGUGCUUGCCGAGUAUCCGUUCAUCCACAGUUGUUCAUGUGAUUCACAAGAUAAUUUGGAAUACCAUCCGACCUUCCGAUAAUCCUCUCCAACUAUUGAUGUGCUAAUAUUUAUCUGCUUGCAUUAUGGUUACUUCCAGUUGUCUAGCAAUACUCAUUAGCAUCCUUUGUCAUCGUAAUAUUGAGCAUUUGAUUCAAUUCGUUUGCGAAUUCUCAUGAUCAUUAGUCCUAUUUAAAAUUCUCCCCUUGGUUCAGACGUCACUCCGGACAUGAGCUGGUGUUCGGCGAAUCAAUCCUUGAUUGAUUAUCGAUCUAUGUCUAUUCUACUUACUUGUCUUGGAUUAGAGCCUCUGCAUCUGAUCCCCCAUUUUGGAAAUAUUCCUUUGCAUUUGAUUUUUGAAUUAGUCAGUUGUUUAUAUAACCUGACCUCUUGCAUUCUUUCUUCUUUUGUUUGAGUACCGAUACUCACAUCAGAUCCAUUGUGGACCUCUAGGUCCUUUGUUGGGUUUUAUCUUACAACGUCCUUCUUAUUCAGUAACCUUGUGAGCCUUUCCCCGGAUACAUAAUGCCUUUGAUAAAUUGUAUCCCCUGCUUUUGUCAACCAUGCUCUGCUUCCGAGCUUGAGUUAUUUAUUCCUAAAGUUUGUGGAAUUUGUUCCUAAGAUGCCCCGAUGGGUUGACUCUAUGUCUUCCCUAAAUCUGGGUGAACUCGAAAGUUAUGCAGGUUAUACUCUAUUGGCUUUUCGCCAGGUAAAAUUUCAAUGCUACAACUUCUUCGAAUGCGAGAAGUGAAUGGAAAGUUGUACAUUAGAGAAGUGGGAGUCGACCUUGAACUUUUGUGUUCAUGCCCAUGGACCCGAUGUGGAACUUAUCAUGGAAGCUUCUUGUUAUAAUAAUAAUCCCCUUGUGAUAAGUUCAUAUGUUAUCUAUAUUUGGUCCUUUCCAACUGUGGUUUCGACCAUAUUGUUCUUAUUUGAUCCCAUUUCUCGGACAAGUUAAAGUACUUGUCUUCUUCAGAUCAUUUCACCUGUCCAACCUCUACUUUGAUCUACCUCCGAGUAUUACCCUAUAGUAUCUCGAGAAUAUCACGAAACUACAUAACCCCUUAUGAGUUCUUCAUCAACUAUUAUUUCUCGCUGAUUCCAAUUUUCCACGGGUUCUGAGUUGUUAGACACUCGAGAAUACCGAUAACCGAUUCGAGUCUAUACUUUCCUUUCCAUUGUUUCGUUUAAACUUUCUUGUAACCUAAAAUAUCUGAGCAGUGGUAUUUCCCUGCUUAUGUGAACACCUCGGUGUACAAACUCUGUCAGAAAGACCUUGUUGCUAUUGUUGAUGACAUUCCGGUAGCCACCGAUGGACGAGAACUUUGCCUAUUGGUCCGCCUCGCCUUGCGAGUAGGAAAAUGGUUCUCUUCGUCCCUCGCCCUUCGUACCAACAUUGUUGCCAACUUAAUUGAUAGGCUAUCCACUGACCUGCCUUGCUAUUAUGACCGUGCAAAAUGAUUUGCGCCUUCCUUCUUUUAACCCACAUGGUGGGCCCAUAACCCACAAUUUCACAGGAUCGAAACCUGACUCUCCUGUACAACCUUAACUCUGAAAUAUUCUUUGCACUUGGCUUCGUAUGUAAAUCACAAGCCACCUUCCUAGUGAUCAUUCUGGUAUCAGAGGAAAUACUUAUUCCCAUUGCUCUGGACCCCUUUCACCCUCGGUUUCAGGCAACGAACGAUUGCCUACCCGGUUGAACCUUCUUAUUGCACCUUCUUACCUUGCUCUCAAUAAAUUUCUUAAAUUUCAACUCGAGAGAUGCCUCUAUGCCACGUUCAGUGAGAUAGCCCUCAGGUACCUAUCUUGUGAUGAGCUCCGUCCUUCUCUAGUCUUUCCCCCUUACAUCACCACUUAAAUCUCGAGACGAGAUUUCUUGUAGUGGAGGAGAAUUGUGACGCCCGGAUAAUUAAGCUACAGUAAUCCCAAGUUAAUAGUGCCACAUCACCACUCUUACUGUUGCUAAUCCCCGGUUGAUCUAAAUCGCAAUUCAAAUUCAAAUUAAAGUCCAAAACUUGAAGUUUUCAAACAUGAAAGCUGAAAUGUUCAAACUGUGGAAAAUAAUCUCUGGUUAUUUGUCUUGUUGAAACCAACCUCUUUUGAAUUCAUAAAAUGCCCCUGAAAUUUAUUUGUGGUCCAACAACCAGUUAUUUGACCUUUUCAAUUUCAAAAAAAAUAGUUGAACACCCCCCCAGAUGCAUUGAAGCUUUUUGUAACAAGCCAGGAUAUUGCACUUUAUUUUUGUGCCAAGUUUUAUAUUAAAGAAAACUCUUUAAGUAGCUCAAAUAUAAUGCAAAGUAGGAAAGGUAUAAAUAAAUGAAAAAGAAACUACAAACAAUUGGAAAGAAGACAGAGGCCCCGCAACCCCAUAUCCCCUGGGCCUUGAACCAACGGGUCCAGCCGGCCCACUCUAACCCCUCGCCCCUGUUUCCUGUAUCUCGGGCGCGUCCGACCGAGCGCCCGCUCGCGCUCGUCCCCGUCGAACCCCUUCACCGGCGAUGGCCAGGAGGAUAAGGCCUCCACCGAGGCACCCCCCAUAGAUAUUUUCUUCCCCUGCCUCCGCCCACUUCCACAUGCCCCGGCGCUCUCCACUCACCUCGCUCUCUCCCUCCUCACUGAUUCCCCAUCUACCGAGCGCGACCGUCACCGACCACCACGCUUCGUCGCGGCCACCGGCAUUUCUGCGCCCGCAGCUCGUGUCCACGAGCACAGCCUCGUUUGUCUCUGUCGACUGGAGCCGUCCAUUUGAGCCGGGCGAUGCCAUUGUGCGCAGAUCGAGCCGGUCUUGUCUUUUGCAUCACCAGCAAUCGCCGUCGACCUCGCUCUGCCACAACCACCGGCCACCUCUCGCCCCGCUGUUGCGUCCGCGAAGACCGCCGCCGUCCACUACAUCCUCUACGCCAACAAACACGAGCCGGGGAGCACAUAUGCGACCACUACGAUUCCAUCUUCCUCCUUCGACCGCCGCCGAUCUCCUCCGAUCCCGGCGUCUUCUUCGUCUGCGACGAGCUCUGCAGCUCCUAAACCUCCCGCCGAGCCUCUGUGUGCUCCUAGGUGAGCACCCCGUCCAUCCCCUUUCCCUUCUGCUCCUCGACGCACGCGUCCGCCCCGGCGUUGUCGCGCUCCCGGAU
rnacentral:lncRNA from 1 species